UACGGAGGGUGCAAGCGUUAUCCGGAUUUACUGGGUUUAAAGGGUGCGUAGGCGGGCACGUAAGUCAGUGGUGAAAUCCUCAAGCUUAACUUGAGAACUGCCAUUGAUACUAUUUGUCUUGAAUAUCCCGGAGGUGAGCAGAAUAUGUCAUGUAGCGGUGAAAUGCUUAGAUAUGACAUAGAAUACCAAUUGCGAAGGCAGCUCACUACGCGAUAAUUGACGCUGAGGCACGAAAGCGUGGGGAUCAAACAGG
rnacentral:rRNA from 1 species